CUCCCUUCGGUGGCUAACUAUUCAAAGCUUAUCUUCUUCCUUACUCUCUUAAAAUUCAGCUUUAAGUUUUCUCUGCUUUUUUACCUCUAUUUAGUCUAUAGCAUUGUCAAAGCUUUUAUUAUUUUUUUGGUGUACGCAUUUGACUCUCUUCUGAAAGAGCUAAGCCAAAGCCGGAGAUCCUCUUGACGACGCCCCAUUCACUACCCAUAAAAAGACUCUCCCAUUCUCGAGCAUGGAGUCAUCACAUGGCAUCUUCCUUAGAGUGCACCCGAUAGCAAGAAAACAAGCGAAAUGCUUGGGGGCGCCUAUGACGUCUUUCUUAUCUUCUCUUUAUUUUACGAUUGUUUUAUUUAAUUUCUUGAUGUCUCCUGGUUUAUUUGGUAUUUGUGUUUAUCUCACGCUUAACAUGGGUUUGAAGAUUUAGUUUAUUUAAUUA